rnacentral:rRNA from 1 species
GACGAACGCUGGCGGCGCGCUUAACACAUGCAAGUCGAGCGAAUCGGCGGACGGUUGAGUAACACGUGAGUAACCUGCCUUAGACAUUGGGAUAGCCUCGGGAAACCGGGAUUAAUACCAAAUGGUCUAAGAUGGACUCGCGUCCCAUUAGCUAGUUGGUGGGUAACGGCCCACCAAGGCGACGAUGGGUAGCCGGCCAGAGAGGGUGAGCGGACACAUUGGAACUGAGAAACGGUCCGAAAUCUACGGGAGGCAGCAGAGGGGAAUAUUGCACAAUGGAGGGAACGCUGAUGCAGCGACGCCGCGUGAACGAAGAAGGCUUGGGAGUCGUAAAGUUCUGUUAUAUGGGAAGCGGUACCAUAAGAAAAAGCCCCGGCUAACUACGUGCCAGCAGCCGCGGUAAUUC